UUUUUAUCCUUUCCGAUUGGAGAGGGACAUGGGCUGUCAUCAGUGACUGCCUGGAAUGCGGCGUGGUUGUGUUGUGAUAAGCACUGAUCGACCGACCAUUCUCUUUGU
rnacentral:misc_RNA from 1 species